GGCAGGAGGCUGGAGGCCUCUACUUCCUCCAGCCCCAACAGCAUGGCCAAUGCAAACUUCUCACUGGAAAACACCGAGCCCUCUGGACAAAGGCUCUGUGUGAUGUUCUAGUGCCUGCCCAACGGGUCUUCUGUGAAAAGGCCCAGCUGUGGUAGCUGGGCUGCCAGGCCUGGGACAGGCAGAGUUCAUCAACAGCUUCUCGGGCCACAGAGCUCAAACGGGACUGGAGCCAGGAUGGCGUGACCAUGUCCUUCCUGUUGUGGACAGCGGGGAAUUGGAUGUGUUGAUGUCUCUGUCAAGGCAUCUCCCUGCAUGAAAGACAUGAGAAUGAGGCAUAUGGGGCAGGAGGCAGGUAUCCAGCUCAAGGAAACGGUCCUGGCUCCACAGAGUGCCCUGAGACCUUCGCUGACCUGCCAUCUUGGCUCAGUUCUCAGCCUUCUGGGAAGGAGUUGGCCUAUUGAGGAAAGGACGGUGCCAGCUCUCUGGCCUCUUGCCUGAGCCAAUAUGACAGAAAACCUAGAUAGGUUGAUUUUCCUGGACUUGGCUUCUCCGCUGCCGGUCUCAUGGUGCUCACCUGAUCCUCCUUCCUGAUCCGCCCUCCCGGAACUUCUCAGAGCUCUGAGCAGCUGCGUCCUGGCCGAGGUGACCCACUGACAAGCUGACACAUUUAAACUCCAAAGUUGUCAGGUGUCCCUUUGACUCCUCACCCCAUAGACAAGUGCACGGAGGCUGGUGAAUUUCCAAUGUCCUGACUCAGGAUUGUAAACUCCUUGCCAGCAGGGACCCUGGCAAGUUCAACCACCGAUUGUACACUCAGAGCCUAGUACAUAGGAGGCUCCCAUAAAAAGUUGUUGAUUAAAUGAAUACUAGAUGAAUCACUUCAACGCCCAUCUCCCCUGCCACAUAUGACAGCUUAAGGCAUUCUAACUUAGCAGGUAAUCCACUUGCGCAGGGGUCUGCAAACCUUUUCUGUAAAUAGGUUAGGCUUUACAGGCAAGAGGCAAAAUAAAGGCUAUUGCAUAGGCACUUCAAAAGCAAAAGAGCCUGGCCAGGUAGCUCAGUUGGUUAGGAUAUCAUCCCGAUACACCAAGGUUGUGGGUUUGCUCCUGGGUCAGGGCACAUACAAGAAUCAACCAAUGACAAAGAAUGCAUAACUAAAUGGAACAACUAACCAAUGUUUCUCUCUCUCUCUCUCUUCCUCUCUCUCUC